CCUACGGGAGACAGCAGUAGGGAAUCUUCCACAAUGGACGCAAGCCUGAUGGAGCAACGCCGCGUGAGUGAAGAAGGGCUUCGGCUUGUAAAGCCCUGUUGGUAGUGAAGAAAGAUAGAGGUAGUAACUGGCCUCUAUUUGACGGUAAUUACUUAGAAAGUCUCGGCUAACUACGUGCCAGCAGCUGCGGUAAUACGUAGGUGGCAAGCGUUGUCCGGAUUUAUUGGGCGUAAAGCGAGUGCAGGCGGCUCAAUAAGUCUGAUGUGAAAGCCUUCGGCUCAACCGGAGAAGUGCAUCAGAAACUGUUUAACUUGAGUGCAGAAGAGGAGAGUGGAACGCGAUGUGUAGCGGUGAAAUGCGUAGAUAUAUGGAAGAACACCAGUGGCGAAGGCGGCACUCUGGUCUGCAACUGACGCUGAGGCUCGAAAGCAUGGGUAGCGAACAGGAUUAGAUACCCUUGUAGUC
rnacentral:rRNA from 1 species